GGGACUGUAAGUUUGACACAGAAUGGAAUGGCUUUCCGCUUGACGUCCUGAGACCGAGCGAGGCUCGCGUGAUGCCGUACCUCCCGUGGAGGCACGAACGAGUAGACCGAAGUGAGGGUCUCGUGAGGUUGCCCCAGGGCUCUGAUUAUACGCUUGAAUGGGGAUGGAUUCUGUCAGCUCCGAAUGCUCCUUGGUGACUUGUAUCUCUCGAUGUCCCUGAUCUCCCUUUGUGUUGUAACUUGGAUAUCGAGCGGGAAUGAAUUUGUGGUCCAGGAUAGAUAUCGAAUGCUGCCUUAGCCCCUUCAGUCGCCGGCUAAAACGCUCUCAGUAGCGUGAGAGACAAUCCGCCCUUACGGAGAGGAGAAUGAAGCAGACGACAAGAUCUCGUAGCGGAAGAACCGUCUAGUGUCUGAAGCACGCGCUUCGGGCUAGUCACACGUGCUUCAAAAUGCGAAGAACGUUGGAUCCCAUCAUCGAGCGGAUCGGACGGGGGCCUCCAUCAACGUGCUCUGGAAAAGGCAUGGAAUCUGAGGAUCGGGAACCUCCAAUCGUCGACCACGAUCCGAAUCGUUGAAGAGAACGCCACCCGGCCGAUGUUCGCAGGGAAUUGAUCUCCCGGAAGGAUGGCGAGUCCUCCACUAAAAUCCAGGCGCAGGCCGGUAACUCUUGCCCCCAGCGUGAGCUGGUCCCGGACACUGCAAACGAACUCAUAGCCGUCGCAUGAAUCGCAGGCCACGUGGAGGCCGACCGGGAUCGGCCGACGACCUUCCGUUCAGCCCCAACUCGAGUCGCAUUGACAACGCAGCGAUCGGCGGAAAACAUAUUCAUCUUCCUAUUCUUUGUACAUGAGUGAAAAUACACUCGAAUAUAAACAUUGGGAAUGGAA